AUUGAACGCUGGCGGCAUGCCUUACACAUGCAAGUCGAACGGCAUCGCGGGAAAGCUUGCUUUCCUGGCGGCGAGUGGCGAACGGGUGAGUAACACAUCGGAACGUACCGGCUAGUGGGGGAUAACCCGUCGAAAGACGGGCUAAUACCGCAUACGCCCUUCGGAGGAAAGCAGGGGACCUUUGGGCCUUGCGCUAGCCGAGCGGCCGAUGUCCGAUUAGCUAGUUGGGGGGGUAAAGGCCUACCAAGGCGACGAUCGGUAGCGGGUCUGAGAGGACGAUCCGCCACACUGGGACUGAGACACGGCCCAGACUCCUACGGGAGGCAGCAGUGGGGAAUCUUGGACAAUGGGGGCAACCCUGAUCCAGCAAUGCCGCGUGGGUGAAGAAGGCCUUCGGGUUGUAAAGCCCUUUCGGCAGGGAAGAAAUCGGCGGGGCGAAUAACCCUGCUGGAUGACGGUACCUGCAGAAGAAGCACCGGCUAACUACGUG
rnacentral:rRNA from 1 species